GAGAGGUAACGGCUCACCAAGGCAUCGACGGGUAGCUGGUCUGAGAGGAUGAUCAGCCACACUGGAACUGAGACACGGUCCAGACUCCUACGGGAGGCAGCAGUGGGGAAUCUUGCACAAUGGGCGAAAGCCUGAUGCAGCGAUGCCGCGUGCGGGAAGAAGGCCUUAGGGUUGUAAACCGCUUUCAGGAGGGAAGAAAAUGACGGUACCUCCAGAAGAAGGUGCGGCCAACUACGUGCCAGCAGCCGCGGUGACACGUAGGCACCAAGCGUUAUCCGGAUUUAUUGGGCGUAAAGAGCUCGUAGGCGGUUUGGUAAGUCGGGUGUGAAAACUCCGGGCUCAACCCAGAGAGGCCACUCGAUACUGCUAUGACUAGAGUACGGUAGGGGAGCGGGGAAUUCCUGGUGUAGCGGUGAAAUGCGCAGAUAUCAGGAGGAACACCAGCGGCGAAGGCGCCGCUCUGGGCCGUAACUGACGCUGAGGAGCGAAAGCAUGGGUAGCAAACAGGAUUAGAUACCCUGGUAGUCCAUGCCGUAAACGUUGGGCACUAGGUGUGGGUCUCAACCAACGAGAUCCGCGCCGUCGCUAACGCAUUAAGUG
rnacentral:rRNA from 1 species